UGGGGGCAGGGGGGACUUGAACCCCCACGACCGUUUAAGGUCAACGGAUUUUAAGUCCGUAGCGUCUACCGAUUCCGCCACACCCCC
rnacentral:tRNA from 1 species